rnacentral:piRNA from 1 species
AUGGGAAUCUCUCUGAAUAAGAUUGAAGAU